AGCAAAUAGAUACCCGGGUAGUCCACGCCGUAAACUAUGAAUACUAGGUGUUGGUGGCUCGAUCCCACCAGUGCCGUAGCUAAACGCGUUAAGUAUUCCGCCUGAGGAGUACGGUCGCAAGAUUAAAACUCAAAGGAAUAGACGGGGACCCACACAAGCGGUGGAGCAUGUUGUUUAAAUUCGAUGACAAACGGGGAACCUUACCCAGGCUUGACAUCUAGGGAAUCUGCCAGAAAUGGCGGAGUGCCGCAAGGAACCCUAAGACAAGCGCUGCAUGGUCGUCGUCAGCUCGUGCCUUGAGGUGUUCGGUUAGGUCCGUGAACGAGCGCAACCCUCGUCCUAAGUUGCAUGUUUCUUAGGAGACUGCCCGUGUUAAACGGGAGGAAGGUGAGGAUGACGUCAGAUCAGCAUGGCCUUUAUGCCUGGGGCUACUAACGUGCUACAAUGGGGCAUACAAAGGGUAGCGAAGCCGUAAGGUGGAGCCAAUCCCAUCAAACGUGCCUCCCAGUUCGGAUUGAGGGGCUGCAACUCGACCUCAUGAAGUU
rnacentral:rRNA from 1 species